UAAAAGUGAUCAAAAUUAUUUACAAUGAUUAUAUUCUUCCAAUUUAUUCAAGUGAAAUAUAAAUUCCAUUCAAACAUCUGUAAAUUAAACAAUCUUUAUCUUUUUUAAAGACUACAGCAAAUCUAUGUAAUAACAUUAUUUUGGAAAAACCGGCGAAACACGCGAGACGUCUCAAAAAUAGAAUAGAAGUGAAGAAUCGCAAGAAUCUAAAAACUCGUUUGGGGUCCUUGGGUGUCCUCAACGGUUCUUAGUUGUUCUCAAACGGUGCUCUCCGCGUUCUUCACUGGCUCAAGGCCACACAACAAACGGCCGCAUUCACCAGGCUGCAUUCAGCUCCGUACAUCGUCUUUUAUGACCAGACCUUGAAGAAGAUCUGAUAGAGACUGGUUGCCUUCGGCUCGUUGUCGGCUACUUGUUCAUCUCACUAACGGGAAAUUUAUGUCUGCUUUCGAUCCAUGUUCAAAUGGGUUACAUACAAACAUGAGAGAUGAGUAAAGGAGAAUUGGAGGAUCACGAGCAUGUACAACCGAUAUUCGUCUUUCCGUAGGACGUAAGAUUCCAAUAAAAAUGCAAAUUCCAUAACGUUCUACGGACCAACUGGCACGACAACACAACUAAACCGUCUUGUUUACUCGUCAAGAGAGAAAGUUGAAAAGAG